rnacentral:rRNA from 1 species
UACGUAGGGUGCAAGCGUUAAUCGGAAUUACUGGGCGUAAAGCGUGCGCAGGCGGUUCGUUAAGACAGAUGUGAAAUCCCCGGGCUUAACCUGGGAACUGCAUUUGUGACUGGCGGACUGGAGUAUGGCAGAGGGGGGUAGAAUUCCACGUGUAGCAGUGAAAUGCGUAGAGAUGUGGAGGAAUACCGAUGGCGAAGGCAGCCUCCUGGGCCAAUACUGACGCUCAUGCACGAAAGCGUGGGGAGCAAACAGG